GUAGGUGGCAAGCGUUGUCCGGAAUUAUUGGGCGUAAAGCGCGCGCAGGCGGUUCUUUAAGUCUGAUGUGAAAGCCCACGGCUCAACCGUGGAGGGUCAUUGGAAACUGGAGAACUUGAGUACAGAAGAGGAAAGCGGAAUUCCACGUGUAGCGGUGAAAUGCGUAGAGAUGUGGAGGAACACCAGUGGCGAAGGCGGCUUUCUGGUCUGUAACUGACGCUGAGGCGCGAAAGCGUGGGGAGCAAACAGGAUUAGAUGCCCUGGUAGUCCACGCCGUAAACGAUGAGUGCUAAGUGUUAGGGGGUUUUCCGCCCCCUUAGUGCUGCAGCUAACGCAUUAAGCACUCCGCCUGGGAGUACGGCCGCAAGGCUG
rnacentral:rRNA from 1 species